rnacentral:sRNA from 1 species
AUUGAAAUAAACCUGAUGGGUUGUUGCUGGUUCUCUAGGGAGCAUGUGCACGCCUUGUCAUCUUUAUAUCUCCACCUGUGCACUUUUUGUAGACCUUUCAGGUCUAUGUUGCUUCAUUUACCCCAAUGUAUGUUAAUAGAAUGUUGUGCCUAUAUAAUAUAUACAACUUUCAGCAACGGAUCUCUUGGCUCUCGCAUCGAUGAAGAACGCAGCGAAAUGCGAUAAGUAAUGUGAAUUGCAGAAUUCAGUGAAUCAUCGAAUCUUUGAACGCACCUUGCGCUCCUUGGUAUUCCGAGGAGCAUGCCUGUUUGAGUGUCAUUAAUAUAUAUAUCAAACUUCUCUUGUUGAGUGGUUUGGAUGUGGGGGUUUGCUGGCCUCUGUAAAAGGGGUUCAGCUCCUCUGAAAUGCAUUAGCAGAACAACCUGUUCAUUGGUGUGAUAACUAUCUACGCUAUUGAAUGAGAGGGGCAGUUCAGCUCUCUAACAGUCCUUGGACAAUUCAUCAUUAAUGUGACCUCAAAUCAGGUAGGACUACCCGCUGAACUUAAGCAUAUCAA